rnacentral:lncRNA from 1 species
CCUCUCUCUCCCUCUGUCUCGCUCUCUCCCAGGUAGUGAGUUAGGUCAUGUGAUCUAGCAGGGUAAAGGUGGACUGUAAUUCUGUCCCGCUGACUGAUUCCACUCUGACAGCCACUCAGCGAGGUGCCUCAGACGCUUUACCUGACUAAACUUCCUCCCAGCCGGCCUCAACUCCACUGGGACCCCAGCUGCCAUGUCCAUCAGCCGGAAGAACUGGUCGGCUCUGUCCCGUCUGGCCCGCCAGUGGACAGUGGAGGAUGAAGAGGAAGUGGAAAGGGAGAGGAGGAGGAAGGAGAGGAGCUAUAGCAGCACUGACCCCGACAAUGACCUUUCACCUGAAAACGACCUUUCUCCCCGACACACCCCCGGAAACCAACCCACCAAUGACAACGCUCCAAGCAUCACCAGGUCAGAGGUCAAACACCUGUUAUCACACACACAGACACACACACACACAGACACACACACACACACACUUCAAAGUGCGUUUUUCUCUGUAGAGAUGCUAGGGAGAACAGCAGUUCAUUAUGUGUGUGUAUUACAGUGCGGAGCUGCUCCAGCUGGACUUUGAGGAGAUGCUCAGUGUUCGAGACGAGAGGAGGAGGAACAGACACAUAGAGACUCUCAGACGACAGAAAGGAGAGGAGGAGGGGAGAGAUGGAGGCGAGGAGGGGAGAGAGGGAGGGGAGGAGGGGAGAGUGGAGCUAUUGGGGGAUGUGGAAGAAGGGGGGAGACAGACACCUCCAAUAGACACCACCAUCCAACCUUCACCCUCAACCCCACCCUCAUCCAUAUCUUCACCCAUACCCUCAACCCCUACCAACCCUUUAGACAGACAGCAGCAGAAUGGUUCUCAGGACCCAGGCCCAGACUCCAAACCUCCCUUCAAGUUUGUCAGUUCUCUGUCCAUCUCCUUUGAUAAGAGUCCCUCCCCCAGCGGGCAUACAAGUCCCAUGAGCCCCCUUUCUCCCACAACGCCGCUGUCCCCCACUAGAGGAGCUCAGAGCCCCACCCACUACGGACACACAGAGGGCAGUGUGGAUGGAUCCUCAGUUAGUUUGGAGCAGACCGCCAGACCAGCCUUCGCCAGACAGAGCUCUAGGACCGUCUCCUUCAGGAUGCUGAGGAAGAAAGAGGAGGAAAGCGUGCCUUUACAGAGGAGGUAACAGACACACACACACACACACAUUAGAUAAGCCCAAGCCCUACCCAUGCCCAUGACAUUCACCAUUGCCCGGUUGCUUCUGCCAAAUGUAAGGCCAUGUUUGAGAUAUUCUGAAAGACUGAAUGACUGGCCAUCAAGUGCAUGUCGUCACUUCCUGUUGAACGCGGAACGAGAGAGAGCUCGCUUUGUUGUUUUGAAAGUCUCUGUGUGUUCUAAAGAAGUGUUCUAUUGAAAAAGUUUGGUUACUAGCUAGCUACCUUUUGAGUUUGGAUCCCGCAACGCGAUUGGCAUCAGUUGCUGGGACCGCUACUAUCUGUCCUGCCGACCAAAGCUGGGUUUGAGGAGCUGCUUGGCGUAGUAGCUAGCCUAGCUGCCACUGUUAGCUGUUUAUCAAGCUAGAGGGGUUUCCUUGAGGGCUUGAAUGCAGCCCGGGCUUGUGGCUGUUCGGAU